rnacentral:rRNA from 1 species
AGUGAACGCUGGCGGUAGGCCUAACACAUGCAAGUCGAACGGCAGCACAGUAAGAGCUUGCUCUUACGGGUGGCGAGUGGCGGACGGGUGAGGAAUACAUCGGAAUCUACUUUUUCGUGGGGGAUAACGUAGGGAAACUUACGCUAAUACCGCAUACGACCUACGGGUGAAAGCAGGGGAUCUUCGGAGCUUUCGCGAUUGAAUGAGCCGACGUCGGAUUAGCUAGUUGGCGGGGUAAAGGCCCACCAAGGCGACGAUCCGUAGCUGGUCUGAGAGGAUGAUCAGCCACACUGGAACUGAGACACGGUCCAGACUCCUACGGGAGGCAGCAGUGGGGAAUAUUGGACAAUGGGCGCAAGCCUGAUCCAGCCAUACCGCGUGGGUGAAGAAGGUCUUCGGGUUGUAAAGCCCUUUUGUUGGGAAAGAAAAGCAGCAGGUUAAUACCCCGCUGUUUUGACGGUACCCAAAGAAUAAGCACCGGCUAACUUCGUG